AGCAGCUUCAUUUGUAAGCAACCUGUUUAAGGAUUGCUGCUAAAAAUCUAAAUUCGCCGUAUUUCGUCCCAACUAUAAAAAAUCAACAUUUUGCUUAGAGAAGGCAUAUAUAAAUUACUUUGAAAACUUGGAUGUGCAGAUGCUACAAUGUAAGAUUGUUAAUAGAUCGAUGGAGCUACCUUCCUUUUCAAAAUGUGGCUUCAUAGCCCAAGCAUUUUGCCAGAAUUACUGCAAAGUGCUUUAGAACGGACAGUCAGAAAGCAGCUAAACCGCUUUGCAGUUGGAUCUGAAUCCAGCCAGAAAUGAAGCUCUCUCCAUCAUUAUCAAUCUCUGCAAAGUUCAAAGAAGCAGCAUUAAAAGUUGUGGAAGUGUAGCUUGGAAAAGGAUUAAGGGAAGACAGGACAGCUUUCUUGUAGUUCUUUCUUUAAUAGCACUUUGACCUGUUCUUCAAGAAUGAGCUUAAUUCACCCUUUGUCUUCUUUUGGCAGUACUGUCUCCAGAGAUUCAGCCAGUAUCAAAGAGACAAGGGUUGCCAGUGAAGGAGGAGCGGACAGCUAUUACGCAAAAUGCAAACAACUAGAAGAAGAAAUACAGAGGUUCCAGAAAGAGGUAGAGAAAAUGAAAAUUGAAGUAGAAGAAGAGAGCAAAAAGCAAAAGGUGAUGGAGG